GAGUUUGAUCAUGGCUCAGAUUGAACGCUGGCGGCAUGCCUUACACAUGCAAGUCGAACGGCAGCACGGGAGCAAUCCUGGUGGCGAGUGGCGAACGGGUGAGUAAUAUAUCGGAACGUGCCCAGUCGUGGGGGAUAACGCAGCGAAAGCUGUGCUAAUACCGCAUACGAUCUAUGGAUGAAAGCGGGGGAUCGCAAGACCUCGCGCGAUUGGAGCGGCCGAUAUCAGAUUAGCUAGUUGGUGGGGUAAAAGCCUACCAAGGCGACGAUCUGUAGCUGGUCUGAGAGGACGACCAGCCACACUGGAACUGAGACACGGUCCAGACUCCUACGGGAGGCAGCAGUGGGGAAUUUUGGACAAUGGGCGCAAGCCUGAUCCAGCAAUGCCGCGUGCAGGAUGAAGGCCUUCGGGUUGUAAACUGCUUUUGUACGGAACGAAACGGUUCUCUCUAAUACAGGGGACUAAUGACGGUACCGUAAGAAUAAGCACCGGCUAACUACGUGCCAGCAGCCGCGGUAAUACGUAGGGUGCGAGCGUUAAUCGGAAUUACUGGGCGUAAAGCGUGCGCAGGCGGUGAUGUAAGACAGAUGUGAAAUCCCCGGGCUCAACCUGGGACCUGCAUUUGUGACUGCAUCGCUGGAGUGCGGCAGAGGGGGAUGGAAUU
rnacentral:rRNA from 1 species